UAAAAUUCAAACUUGAGAACUUGCUUAAGAAGAAUCCAUGAUCAAUAACAGAGAGAAAAGCAACACAAAAUCUUGAAAACACUCGGUAUUUUUUCACUUGGAUAAAAUCAACUGAACUGUUUAUAUCAACUUAUCUGUCUCCAAUUAAGUCCAAGGAUCAGAACAACCAAAAAAAAAAAAAUUGAAGAAAAGUCAAAAGGGUAGGUGAAUCAAAGCUCAAGUAGGAACCUUUCCAAUCAGAAUUUCAUUGGUGUGAGGACCAUAGACAUCAGAGGUAUCAAGGAAUGUGACACCACUUUGAACAGCAUGGUGAAUGAGAGCAACCAUGUCAGGUUCUGGCUUUGGAGGUCCAUAGUAAGCAGACAUUCCCAUGCAACCAAGUCCUUGCUGAGAUACCUCCAAACCUUGUGAUCCCAGUUUCAUUCUUCCAACUUUAGCCAUUGCUGUGUUGUGGUGAUGAUGUGCUUGCAAGUUGCAACUAUGAUCAGUGUUCGAAGAGUGAUGCAGAAGUUUUAUUUGGCUUCUUUGAAUGAAUGUUCUGAGCUAUGUGCCUACUCUUAUAAGUAGUUGAAAACUCCAUCAUGACAGCAAGGCAAAGAUUAUUAAUUAAUAUCAUAUUAUUAAUCAUUCACUUCAUUAGAAAUCAUUAUGACUAAUGAGGAUAAAUUUAUGACUAUCUCCAUGUUGAAAUAGUAUUUACAACACUUUUUAUGUACCAGUAUAUAUAUAUUUAAGGUUCCGAUUGUUGGAUACGUUUGUUCUUGAUUGGUAUAUUUCAAUACUUUUAUUUUUCAGUAGGUACAAAAUAAAAUAAAUUAUCUGUAAGAGAAUAUGCCCUAGGUCUUAAUUAUGUUGGUUUUCAUCUCUGAUAUAGUGAUAUGUCUUUAUCUUCUUAAAUGCAAUGAAGUUAAAUGGAUUUGGUAUUUGAUUAUCUCACUAAAGUUGAGGUUUUGGUGGGCUCAAUAAACUAGAUCAGCAUAAUAUAGUGCAAUUUAGGUAAUGCCAAAAGCACAGUGCUCCUCUUCCUUUUGAAUGCUUUUCUAAACAAAAACAAUACUAAACUAAAAAUAAAAUAAGGGGAGUGGAGGAAGUCAUAAUUCCUAUCACAAUAUCUGGUUCUGGUUUUGGAGGUCCAUAGCCAGAAGACAUUCCCAUGCAACCAAGUCCUUGCUGAGACACCUCCAAGCCCUGUGAACCCAGCUUCAUUCUUCCAACUUUAGCCAUUGUUGUCAUGUGAAGAUGAUGGUAGCACUAUGAUAUCAGUGGAAGAAGCAGAAUGAAGCUUUGUGAAUGUUAAUUGUCAAAUGACUACAGCUGUGAAACCUCAAAUGGCUGAGUAUAGUUAUUCUAAACAAGAAAGUAAAUAUAGUUUUUAUAAAAAAAAUUGUCCCACUCCCAGCAGCCAGUAUAGAAUAUAGCAAUUAGAAAAAGAACCCCACAAACCCACCCCAUUUAACUAAUCAAACGGUGUACCUAACUUUUAUUUUCUUUAUAAAAAUGUUAAUAGGACCUUUCACCUCAUAUAUUUACAUUGAAAAACUUACUUGUUAGUACAUUCAUUCACUUAUGACCAUAAUUUUUAACAUAAGAAAAAAAUACAAAUCACUGAAUCAUUUAGAUAUGAAACUUUGCUUUCACCUUGGUCAAAGAUUAAUAGUAGAAGGCAUGGCAUUGUUGAUGUGCUUAAGUCUUUUGUUUAUUAAGACAGAGAAACACACACACAUACAUGAAGUUAUCUGGAACAGAGUUCAAACUUCAGAUCACUUAAUUAAUUGAAAGAACAACUCAACAGCAAGAAAAUUAAACAACUUUCCAAGAAGAGAGUGGUGGAGUAUCAGAGUUCCUCCAGGUAAUUAGAUCGCCGGCGUAUCUACCACCCUUGACAACAUCUGCGGCAGCAAAGGACUCGAGUUCUGCCAUUUCUUGUGGUGCAAGUUUCACAGAUAAAGCACCAAUGUUGUUGUUAAGGUUCUCAAGUUUGGUGGUUCCGGGAAUGGGGCAGACAUCAUUGCCUUGGUGGUGAAGCCAUGCCAAUGCAAGCUGAGAUGGUGUGCAUCCUUUCUUUGCGGCCAUUUCUUUUUUUUUUUUUUUAAUGUAUGUAUCAUUGAUGAACAUUUGAAAAACAUAAUAUAGUAAGAUGCAAGUGUUAUGAAAUGAAUAUAUAUUAUCAUAUAUCUUUUUAGGUCACCGAUCAACAAAAUCCUAAUAAUAUUAGUAGGUAACUUAUCUACUAAAGUUUGACUUGUUAAGAUUUGUGAAAGAAUAUGUAACUGAGUACAAAACAUGAUUAUGAAAAUGACAAGUGAUCAGAGCAUGAAUUUCUAUAAUCGCACACAUAUGACACAAACCUUCCUGAAGUCGUCCUGUGAUAAAUUAUCAAGCAACUUUGAUCCGGAUGAAAAGAAUCCGCAGCCAAGAGGACUGUAUGCAACAAUUCCAAUGCCAAGUUCCCUGAAAAGGACAAUAGUUGGAAGCCAAAAACUCAGACAUUGUAUCAUGAUGUUUUAUGAGAAGUCCUAGAAAGAGAUUUGCUUGUUAACAAGAACAUUAAUACUUGUGAAUGAUUAGAUUCAAACCUGCAAGUUGGAAUCACUUCUUCUUCAACAUCUCUUGACCAAAGAGACCAUUCUAACUGCACAGCUGAUAUGGGAUGAACAGCAUGUGCUCUUCUGAUUGUUGAAGCUGAAGCCUCGGAUAGACCAAUGUAUUUUAUUUUUCCCUCCUCAACAAGCUUCUUAAGCUCACCAGUCUUAACUUGAAAUUGAAGAAGUGAAAAAAAUUGAAGUCAUCACACAUAAGGUAGUCUAUUUUUAUUACUUCAUGCUCUUAACAAUUACCAUAAAAGUAGAUGAAGUGGAUAGAUUUCGACAAAAAUGGGGAUUUUUCUGUUAAAUCUUUCCUUAAUAUUAUUUAUAAGGACAGGAAUAGAGAGACGGAUUCCAACAUGUAUAAUUUUGCUAAAAAGUUGUGGGUUGGCUUUGUUCCUCCUAGAGUGGAGCUCCUCACUUAGUUUAUAGUUCUAGGAAGACUAAAUACAAAGGAUAGGCUGUGCAAUUUGAAGAUGCUUCGGAGUGAGGAUGUGAAGUGCGUGCUUUGUGGUUCUAGACCUGAGUCUGUCCACCACAUUUUCUUUGCAUGUGACUGGUCUUGGAAUUUAUGGGUUGUGAUCCUUCAAAGGUGGGGUCUAUCUUGGGUGUGGCCGAAUUUAGCAAAAGAUUGCUUUGACUGCUGGGUGGAUUUAAGGCUUGGUAAUAUACAAAAGUGUGAAUGGAUUAUUUGCUUCUUUGCAACGGUGUGGACUAUAUGGAAGGAGCGCAACUGCAGAAUUUUUUGCAAGAAGGAAAGAUCCUUUGAGGCAUGUGUAAGCGACAUUCAAUUCCUGGUCAACCAAUGGUGUAAUUAUAGGCACAGUAAUUAUGGUUGAAACUGCUUAUUUGUGAUUUUUAGUGGUGUGGGUUUGUUUCUCAGGGACUCGUUGUUCGUGUUGUUUUUUUGUUCUGUUGGCGGUCCUAGGCUUCUUAGUGCCUUCGAGGUUUUUGACAUUCGUGUAAUAGUCUAGAUCUUUAGCUUAUGUCUUUGUUGUUUUAUGUUUGGUUCUUGUUUUGUUUAGUUUAAGUUUCGUUUUUUCUUGUUGUCUGUAGCUUGCUCUCACUUCCCUCUUUGGGAUUUAAGUGAGUUCUAAAACUAUCAAAAAAAAAAAAAAAACAAUUAACAUACUAAAUGUCAGUUCCAUAAAACGGAUUGCAUUUCCUUAACAAUAUGAUAUUCAAUCUUGUUAAGUGAUGAAUAAUUCAAACAUAAGUGUUCACUGAACUAGUUAAAUGUGAAAUUCAAGGUUAUUAAUUUCUCGAGUUAACUCGUAAACUCUUAUGGUUCAAGUUGACCUAAAGACUUAUUUUAUGAUAGAGAAAGAUUCAAACCGUUAUUUCGAUUGGAACACGUGUAUCGAUUCGAUGUUGGUAAUAGAGAUCUAUGCAAUCAAUGUCAAGUCUCUUCAAGCUUCCUUCACAGGCAGCUCUCACAUAUGAUGGAUCACCACGGUUCUCAUAUUUUCCAUCAUCAGAAAUGCGGAUACCAAACUUGGUUGCCAAUUCAACCUUCUCUCUCACCCCUCCACUCAAAGCCUGUCUCAAAGUUCCAAACAUUUCAUCAUAAUAUCAUAUGCACAAGCCAAAACAAAAUUGUGACAUAAAAUUCAAACUUGAGAACUUGCUUAAGAAGAAUCCAUGAUCUAUAACAGAGAAGAAAGCAACAUAAAAUCUUGAAUCACUCGUUAUUUUUUUCACUUGGAUAAGAUCAACUGAACUGUUUAUGUCAACUUAUCUGUCUCCAAUUAAGUCCAAGGAUCAGAACAACUAAAAAAAAUAAAAAAUCAGAAGAAAAGUCAAAAGGGUAGGUGAAUCAAAGCUCAAGUAGGAACCUUUCCAAUCAGAAUUUCAUUGGUGUGAGGACCAUAGACAUCAGAGGUAUCAAGGAAUGUGACACCACUUUGAACAGCAUGGUGAAUGAGAGC
rnacentral:lncRNA from 1 species